rnacentral:tRNA from 1 species
AGGGGAGUAGCUCAGCUGGUAGAGCAGCGGUCUCCAAAACCGCGUGUCGCGAGUUCGAUCCUUGUCUCCCCUGCCA